rnacentral:lncRNA from 1 species
UCAACUUGGGGACAAAAUUGACAAUAAAUUCUCUUAUUGUCUCACCCCUUUAUCGGUUAUCGGAUCUUCGAGUACCUUCACAUUCGGUAAAAAAUAUUUAUCGGGUUUUUUUUUGUGUAUAUACUGAUGACAUUAUCGACAUACAGAAUUUAAUUGCUUUCAAAAAAAAAAAAAAUUUAUCGACAUACAGGAUCAUCGACUAAGUCUUCUGGCGAUUCUGAUGGUGUGAAGGUGCCGAUCAUCCCAUCCGAGAUAUAUUAUUACUUAAGCCUUGAAUCGAUCAAUAUCGGGAACAGUACUGUUGCGUCGAUGGACAAUGUCGCCACAUCUGGGAAUAUCAUCAUAGAUUCAGGGACGACGUUGACAUAUAUCCCAAGUUCAGUUUUGAAUGUUUUGAUAGACAAUAUUUCGAAAAUGGUUACUUUACCUACUUACGAUGAUCCCAGUGGGCAAUUUCAACUGUGUUAUAAUGUCGAUGGAGGAUUGUCAUCGGGGAAUUUGAAUGGUGUUCUUCCG